AUUUUGCCGGGCUGUUAAAAGGCACACUACCCGGAAGCGCCCAGUGGGACGCGCAGGCCUUUACCUUUUUCUUAGAUGCAUACUCGAGUUCUUCCAUUCCCAGAGUUCAACGUCGGCUGCACGAGCAUGAUUCCAGAGGCCAGCUAAACUACUUUUGGUAUCGGCAGCUCCUUGCAGAAUGUCUCCAGACUGAGAACUAAGCCGUGGCCCCAUGCCUGCCCAGGAGGGGAAAGGUCCUCAAACCACACUUUACCUGGUGUUCCCUUCUCUAUGCGAGCUGCCCCUUCCUCCAGCAUGUGGGGCCAGCUUCCAAGACUUGGAGCCAACCUCCUG